AAAACUGGGGUUGUUUCCUUGGGAAUUUCUGAUUUGUAUAUAGUGAUCAGGUUUCAGGCACUGAAUGUUACUUAUAUAUUAGGUAUUAAUUUUUUCUAAAUGGUAAUACCUGGGGAAAUUGGUGAAAUUUGUCUCUGUCCCACCAGAGGAAAUACUAUGUGAAGUAUGCCGGAAAACAUUUAAACGCAAAGAUUACCUUAAGCAACACAUGAAAACUCAUGCCCCAGAAAGGGAUGUAUGUCGCUGUCCAAGAGAAGGCUGUGGAAGAACCUACACAACUGUGUUUAAUCUCCAAAGCCAUAUCCUCUCCUUCCAUGAGGAAAGCCGCCCUUUUGUGUGUGAACAUGCUGGCUGUGGCAAAACAUUUGCAAUGAAACAAAGUCUCACUAGGCAUGCUGUUGUACAUGAUCCUGACAAGAAGAAAAUGAAGCUCAAAGUCAAAAAAUCUCGUGAAAAACGGAGUUUGGCCUCUCGUCUCAGUGGAUAUAUCCCUCCCAAAAGGAAACAAGGGCAAGGCUUAUCUUUGUGUCAAAACGGAGAGUCACCCAACUGUGUGGAAGACAAGAUGCUCUCGACAGUUGCAGUACUUACCCUCUGCUAAGAACUGCACUGCUUUGUUUAAAGGACUGCAGACCAAAGAGCGAGCUUUCUCUCAGAGCAUACUUUUCUUUAUUAAAAUUACUGAUGCAGAACAUUUGAUUCCUUAUCAUUUCCAUGGUCUUUGUUCAAAGUGUCUCUUUCCUGGGUCUCUUGAGUUUCUCUAUAUGCCUUCUCUUCAUUUUUGCUCAAAGCACGAAGAACACACAUUAAAGCUUUUCCUCGAA
rnacentral:sRNA from 1 species